rnacentral:rRNA from 1 species
CCUACGGGAGGCAGCAGUGGGGAAUAUUGGACAAUGGGGGAAACCCUGAUCCAGCGAUGCCGCGUGAGUGAAGAAGGCCUUAGGGUUGUAAAGCUCUUUCAGUAGUGAAGAUGAUGACGGUAGCUACAGAAGAAGGACCGGCUAACUCCGUGCCAGCAGCCGCGGUAAUACGGAGGGUUCAAGCGUUGUUCGGAAUUACUGGGCGUAAAGAGCGCGUAGGCGGCGCAGAUAGUCAGAUGUGAAAGCCCUGGGCUUAACCCAGGAGGUGCAUUUGAUACUACUGUGCUAGAGUACCGAAGAGGUAAGUGGAAUUCCUAGUGUAGAGGUGAAAUUCGUAGAUAUUAGGAGGAACACCAGUGGCGAAGGCGGCUUACUGGUCGGUAACUGACGCUGAGGCGCGAAAGCGUGGGGAGCAAACAGGAUUAGAUACCCUGGUAGUCCACGCCGAAACGAUGAGUGCUAGAUGUUGGGUCGAAUGGCUCGAGNACGCAGCUAACGCAAUAAGCUUUUCCGCAGGUWAGUACGGCGCAAUA